CCUACGGGGGACAGCAGUGGGGAAUAUUGCACAAUGGGGGAAACUCUGAUGCAGCGACGUCGCGUGCGUGAUGAAGUAUUUCGGUAUGUAAAGCUCUAUCAGCAGGGAAGAAAAUGACGGUACCUGACUAAGAAGCCCCGGCUAACUACGUGCCAGCAGCCGCGGUAAUACGUAGGGGGCAAGCGUUAUCCGGAUUUACUGGGUGUAAAGGGAGCGUAGACGGCGGUGCAAGCCAGAUGUGAAAGCCCGGGGCUCAACCCCGGGACUGCCUUUGGAACUGGGCUGCUAGAGUGUCGGAGAGGCAGGCGGAAUUCGUAGUGUAGCGGUGAAAUGCGUAGAUAUUAGGAGGAACACCAGUGGCGAAGGCGGCCUGCUGGACGAUGACUGACGUUGAGGCUCGAAGGCGUGGGGAGCAAACAGGAUUAGAUACCCUUGUAGUC
rnacentral:rRNA from 1 species